CUAGUCAGUUUCAAGAUUAGAUCCUCCCUCAAUUAAGUAGGAAAUUUUAUGUAUAUUGCACAUUCAAACCCUCAACAAGUGGAAGUUAUUGACAGAAAAACUGGGUAAAACCCAAAAUAAAAUUCUUGAAAUCUGUUCCUGUGUCAAAGAAAAUUGCAGUUGCAUUUACCCUAAUCCUAUAACUCCUAGCUUUCUGGUGGACUUUUGAACUCCUGGAUACCACACCACCUGACUUUUGAAGUUUCACAACAUCCACAUUGGGUUUGUUCCUUAAUACAUCUCUGAGCAUGCUAAAAAGUUUCUCCUGCAUAAAAGGAACCCAUAAAAUUUAAUAAAACAAUUGGGAAUCAAGAGAUUAAAGAAAAAAAAACAAAAUAAAAAGCAAAUUAUCACACAUGAUAGGUGUUACUUGACCCAUAUUCCUGAGAAAAAUAAGGAUAGAAUUGCCUCCAAUGACUAGUAGCAUUAGGAUUUAGGAGUAAUAACAGAGAAAGGCAAAAUUAGCCCACAAAUGUUUCAUGUGAAUAAUUUGUAGUACAACAGAAGCACAGUUUUCUCCCCUUUCUGUUGCUAAGGUGGGGCUGCAGUACACAACCCCAUAAGUAUGAUAAAAGAAUAAAG
rnacentral:lncRNA from 1 species